GCUGUGGCUAGUGGUAAAGCACUUGUUUGGCAUGCAGAAGGUACCAGGUUCGAUCCCUGCCAUUGCA
rnacentral:tRNA from 1 species